AGCUUUGCGCAGUGGCAGUAUCGUAGCCAAUGAGCUUUAUCCAAGGCGCAAUUAUUGCUAACUGAAAUAUUUUUCUGGCUAUUUUAAUAAAUCCAAGAGCAAUAUUCAAGACAGAGUCACUUUUUGAGAUAGUGACAAAUGUCA
ensembl:snRNA U4 U4 spliceosomal RNA